CCUUGGUGGGUUUGGGUAUGCGACUCUGCUCUUGUAUUGAUUGCUAGGUCCAUGUGAAUUUGUUUGUCUCAUGUUUUUCAUUUGUGUGUCAAGUAUUUAAGUAUGAGGUUGGCUUUCUUGAUGGACAGUUUCUUUAAUUCGCUGAGCUCAAAAGUAACAUAGCUUUGGUUACCUAGUAGUGUGUGUGUGUAUUAUUUGCUUAUGCCGGGAUAGCUCAUUGCUGGUGUUUUAUUGCUUAUAUAGUAGUUGACAAGUCAUAGGUUUUAUUGAUUUAAUUGUUUAGAAAGUUGGUCUUCAAAAAUCAAGCUUGAUUGUAAAUAACAGUUUGGAACAAUACCAUCGUUGACUUUGUAUCGUAUAAUAAAGCGUAACACUAGGCUACAUAUAUAUUAAGUACCAUGGUGUGGGUUCUAUUCUGACAUUGGGCUUUCCAGAGUUACAUGGCGAAGCUUUUAUUGUUAAAGGAUGUUAUAUAUUGUAUCAUAGUGUGACGUUAGAGUACAAUUAGCUUACAUGGGAUGUGAAUUACGUCUACACUGUCUUGUGCCCCUGAAUAUUAAUUUGACAAGCAAUUGUUUUCUUGCAGAGGUUGUAAACAUAUAAAUUUUCCCCGGGUGGAUUUCAACCCAUUUCUUUUCCUACAUUUGACAUGUUAAAUACAUGGAACAAUAUGGGCAUAUUUGCUAAGACGCUUUGAGGGUCUUUUAUGACCUUAAAGCCCCAAGCUUUUAAAAACAAGUCUUUUUUAAACAUAUAGAUUUGUUUCAAAUGACAUCUUGAAGAAAACUCUGCCCCAAAAAGCUUCUAAAAGCUUUUAAAAGUCUUUAAAAUGAAAGCUUGUCAGAGAGUUUUAAAAUUAAACUCCGCAUCUAGCCCCAACCUCCAGCUCUAAGGUAUAUGUAUGGGAUGUUUUAUGAUAGUAGUAUAGAGCAGACUUUGUUUACUUGCUGUAUAAGUUGCAGGUAUAGUAAUGCCCUUGAACUUCUAGCUGAGAUGUUUAUGUGGUGUGACUUAUGCAGGUGACGAAAGGUGGGACUCGUAUCUGUUAUCUGUUGAAAUAGAAUGGGACAGCAUUUUGAAGGGAGAGGAGUAUAAACGGUUGAGGUACAAGGACUGCAGUUUCUUUUGACAUGAAAUUUAGGGUGGUUUAUUAUCUGUAAGUUUUUGUAUUUAAAUGUACCAAAAAAUUCAUCUUUGCCACUUCUAUUGGAAUGUACCUAAUGAUGUAGAGGGCUUAAGAAGGAACUGGUAUGUUGUAAUGUUAUAUGGACGGCCAUAGUAUUUGACAAAGCUUGAAUUUCACGUUUUAAUGAAAUUAGUUCAGUUAAAAAAUGAAGUGGUUGCAAGGGGGCGGGGAUUUGUAAGCUAAUUUGAACUGGAGAUGGUGUGAGAUUUUACAAGAGAUUUUUUAUUUCGUAUCUCCAAGGUUCUUCCUAUAUAUAUUUGGCAGGUGAGUCUUUGCUACGAGAAUAAAAUGACAACCCUGAGUAGCGAAAAGCCAAUAACAGGGUGGUGUUCCCGGUUAUAAUUCACCGAUUGAAAUUUAAGAGAUGUAAAGCUUAUGUGUUUUGUUUAGAUAAAGCUGGUUUUCGAAAGUGUCUUUCUAAUAGUUGCUGCUUAUCUCAUGUGUGAUGGAAACAUCAACUCUGGAAGAGUUCUUUUCGUACAUUUGUCUUGCUUUAUACAUAUGCACGUUGCUAAUAGAUCAAUGCAGGUGAGUAAAAGCAGAAUGUGGAAUGGUGCACUCGUUUAAGGGAAAAGUGUACAAAGGGUAAGGGUCGUGGUAUAAGGGCCACAUUUAAAGUUUUAUCAUGGAUGCACUGUAUUUUGUAACUGGCAGAGCAUACACCCUCAAUGAUAGAUUAUCCUUUUCUGUUUUUGAUUGUAUUUGUGCAUGGUUCAUAUAUGUUGGCAAGGAAAUUAAGGGUUGAUCUAUUCUUUGAAUUGAAACUCUUUUUUAGCAACUUGAGUCCCUUGGAAAUUUUGUUCUGCGUUAUGUGGUACUGAGUUGUGCAACGACCAACGAUCGUGUAUGGAUCAGAUGGAGUGGCUCUAUUCAGUUUCGACCCUGGUCUGAGGUGAAUUUCGCUGAAAACUUCGUGUCGCGAUUCGGCAGCGAG